rnacentral:rRNA from 1 species
UACCUACGGGGGGCAGCAGUGAGGAAUAUUGGUCAAUGGCCGAGAGGCUGAACCAGCCAAGUCGCGUGAGGGAAGACGGCCCUACGGGUUGUAAACCUCUUUUGUCGGGGAGCAAAGCGAGUCACGUGUGACCCAUUGAGAGUACCCGAAGAAAAAGCAUCGGCCAACUCCGUGCCAGCAGCCGCGGUAAUACGGAGGAUGCGAGCGUUAUCCGGAUCUAUUGGGUUUAAAGGGUGCGCAGGCGGAGGUGCAAGUCAGCGGCCAAAUUGCGGGGCUCAACCCCGUACUGCCGUUGAAACUGCAUC